UACGGAGGGUGCAAGCGUUAUCCGGAUUCACUGGGUUUAAAGGGUGCGUAGGUGGCUUUGUAAGUCAGUGGUGAAAGCCCGGAGCUCAACUCCGGAACUGCCAUUGAUACUGCUUAGCUUGAAUCAGAUUGAGGUGGAUGGAAUAUUACAUGUAGCGGUGAAAUGCUUAGAUAUGUAAUAGAACACCGAUUGCGAAGGCAGUUCACUAAGUCUGUAUUGACACUGAGGCACGAAAGCGUGGGGAUCAAACAGG
rnacentral:rRNA from 1 species